AGUGAACGCUGGCGGCAGGCUUAACACAUGCAAGUCGAACGGCAGCACAGUAAGAGCUUGCUCUUACGGGUGGCGAGUGGCGGACGGGUGAGGAAUAUAUCGGAAUCUACUUUUUCGUGGGGGUUAACGUAGGGAAACUUACGCUAAUACAGCAUACGACCUACGGGUGAAAGGAGGGGAUCUUCGGACCUUGCGCGAUUGAAUGAGCCGAUGUGGGAUUAGCUAGUUGGCGGGGUAAAGGCCCACCAAGGCGACGAUCCGUAGCUGGUGUGAGAGGAUGAUCGGCGGCACGGGAGGGUGACCACGGACCAGGGUACUACGGGAGGCAGCAGAGGGCAAUGUUGGGCAGUGGUCGGAAGCCUGGUCCAGCCAGAGCACGUGUGAGGAAGAAGCCUUCGGGUUGUGAAGCCGUUUUGUUGGGAAAGAAAAGCUUCAGGUUAAUACCCAGCUGGUCUGACGGUACCCAGAGAAUAAGCACCGGCUAACUUCGUG
rnacentral:rRNA from 1 species